UACGAAGGGGGCUAGCGUUGCUCGGAAUCACUGGGCGUAAAGCGCACGUAGGCGGAUUGCUAAGUCAGGGGUGAAAUCCUGGAGCUCAACUCCAGAACUGCCUUUGAUACUGAGGAUCUCGAGUCCGGGAGAGGUGAGUGGAACUCCGAGUGUAGAGGUGAAAUUCGUAGAUAUUCGCAAGAACACCCGUGGCGAAGGCGGCUCUCUGGGACGGUACUGACGCUGAGACGCGAAAGCGUGGGGAGCGAACAGG
rnacentral:rRNA from 1 species